rnacentral:rRNA from 1 species
GACGAACGCUGGCGGCGUGCCUAAUACAUGCAAGUUGAGCGCUGAAGGUUGGUACUUGUACCCACUGGAUGAGCAGCGAACGGGUGAGUAACGCGUGGGGAAUCUGCCUUUGAGCGGGGGACAACAUUUGGAAACGAAUGCUAAUACCGCAUAAAAACUUUAAACACAAGUUUUAAGUUUGAAAGAUGCAAUUGCAUCACUCAAAGAUGAUCCCGCGUUGUAUUAGCUAGUUGGUGAGGUAAAGGCUCACCAAGGCGAUGAUACAUAGCCGACCUGAGAGGGUGAUCGGCCACAUUGGGACUGAGACACGGCCCAAACUCCUACGGGAGGCAGCAGUAGGGAAUCUUCGGCAAUGGACGAAAGUCUGACCGAGCAACGCCGCGUGAGUGAAGAAGGUGUUCGGAUCGUAAAACUCUGUUGGUAGAGAAGAACGUUGGUGAGAGUGGAAAGCUCAUCAAGGGACGGUAACUACCCAGAAAGGGACGGCUAACUACGU